rnacentral:lncRNA from 1 species
CACGUCGAAUCAAAUGGUGGGUAUUCAUCAUUUCUAAUGGCUGAGUAAUAUUCCAUUGUAUACAUAAACCACAUCUUUUUUAUCCAUUCAUCUUUCAACGGACACCGAGGCUCCUUCCACAGCUGCCCCAUUUUACAGAUAAGAAAACAGAGGCUCAGAGGGAUUUAUUUUAUUUAUGCCCAAUCAAGAACUUCUAACCACAGCCCCAGAAAUCCUACUCUACUCUCACCAAAAACCUAGCAUGUGUUCAGUACUCAAUAAAUUAAUGAAUUAAUAAUGGAUGACUCAAUUCAAGGACUAUGUCUCAAAAGAAUUGUGCUUUCAUAUUCUCUGCGUGCAGCUUUGCCUGUCUUCUUGGCACAGAAAACCAAGACUCCUUAAAUAGUCAAAUCUGCAGAGGCUCAUCUUCCUGCAGAACUCCUGAGACAGGUGUCAACAGUGCCAUUUCCUUUUUACUUGGCAGUCCCCACCCUCACAGAAUGCGAUCAGCCUACCUGCAGGUAUGACUGCAUUUACUCUUUCUCCUCUGUCCCACCACUUGCUCCUUUCCCACUGGAUGGCAUUCUGUUGGAGCCCACACUUCCCCUCACCCCCUGCCUCUGGCUUCAGCAUAAUGAGCCACCUCUGCCCACCUGUCUCCCAGUCCAGCACAGCAGGAGCAACAGUGGCAAGAAGCAUAUAUGGAAUUUAAGUCAGAAGACCACAGACAGAGCAGAUUCACUGACCCUAGCCCCACAGAAGUGACAUUCCUGCUGUUCUAAUCUUAUUAAGCAGGUGUGGUCUUGUCUAUGCCAGGGAGGGCAAGGUGAAGAGAGAUCGGAGGCAUCCAGGACUCAGGAUUAUCAUUUUCUACCUGUUGAGUUAAUCAUGUGCAAUUUCACAAAAUCCUGGAUUUUCACAAUUAAGACAACUAGAGGGCUGGGUGGGAUGGGCACUGAGACAUGCCUCUUGCUUGCAUACUUCCAGGAACAUGGAUACUCACACCUGCUCCAGGUAGCUGUGUCUGCACUUAGCCCACUCUGACUUUAAAAUUGCAAUACAUGUUUCUAGGUUUGCCCUUCUAAGUUCUUGGUUUGCCCUCUCAACUAUCCUUCCCCUUCCCAGAAAUCUGAAGGUAAUUCUCACCUUCUGCUAUCUUGUAUGCCUCAAGAUAAACAUCUCCAGGGUCUCAAUAAUACAUCAUGUCAUAUAGUUUCCUCACUCUCCAGGGUCAUGUCAAGGAUUAGCUAAGGCUGUAUGUGUAUAUAUAUGUGUGUGUGCAUUUUGUAAACUGCAAUGUACUAUACUCUCUCACUGUAAGAGAGCGUUAGUGUUACUAUUACUCCCAUAGUCUGCAUUCUAGUCAUACCUCAACUUCUCACUUUACCCCAAAAAUGUAGCUCCAGUUAGUUCAAUAUCACCAAUUUACAUAACUUCAAGAUGAGAAAGAAGAUAGAAGCUCGUAUUUAAUUAACACAAUGUUAAACUUUUUGCAUUACUAUACAUUUAAUCCUCCUAACAACCAGUGCUAGAAAGAGAUUGUGAUUAUCCUAUUAUAAAUGAGACUGAGGACAAGAGAAAAUACAAUUUUCAAUCUUGGGCAAGUUACUUACAGGGCAGAGUCAAAAUUGUGGUCUGAGUCUGUGGGACCCCAGAGCCUAACCAUUUAACCAUAAGGCUAGAGGACUUCAGAAGCCAUGGUUCUGUUCUUUUCAUUCAUUAGGAGUUGAGAAGUUUGAGAAAGGGUUCUGUCCCCAAGUAGGAAGUGGUCUGGGAAAUGGGCAGGGGGGGAGUAGGUAGUCAUGGGGUGUCUCUGUCAUCAUUCUCAGUGGCUGGAGUUCAGCCCGGACAUAGUGCUAAGGAAGCCCCACAUCUGCAUUUGGCUCGUGUUUUCUUAUAGAAGUAGGAGUUGGUCAUCAGUAAAAGUACGAAUUAGUCCUAGCUCUUCUCCAGGGCCACUGAAUGAGUCAGUUCUAAAGAGAGCCCCACAAAAUCACAAAAUCACAAAACACAAACUCUGGAAGGGGUCUUCAUGUUUGGGAUGAGCUGAAGGCAGGCAGCACAGUAGCUAGGAGGGGGGAUAUUAUGGCUUGUGUUCAAAUCCUGUAGUUGAAUAACAUUGGGCAAUUAACUUCCCUGAGCCUCUGCCCUCUCAUCUAUAAAAUGGGGACAAUCAUGCCUACCACAGAAGGCUGACUAAAUGACCUCAAGCAUGUAAAGCACUUAGCACAAUGCCAGGCCCACUCUAGACCUGUUAGUUAUGAUAACAAAGGAGGAGUUAAGCAGCUUCAGUGUGGAUUUCAGCUUUCAAAAAGUCAUUUUCAUUUUGACUUAGGGAAGAAGAAAUGUUUGCCCAAACUUCAUAAUUUUAUUUUCCCUCAAUUUGGCUCUCAUGCAAAAAAUAAAUAAAUAAAAACAUUACUUAACUCUUAUUUUGUCUAAAUUCCUAUCACAAAUAAGGAACUGAGUCCCACAGAAGGAACAGGACUCAUCCAAUGUCACAGAGCAAGUAGGGGGCAGGUAGUCUAGAACACUUAUAGCCUUCCCUGGCAUUUGUUUCCAAGUCCCAAGAUCCUUGAGGGAGAUCACAGAAAUUAGGAUAAGAAAGGAAGGUAGGAAAUCUGCUGCCCUGUGACCAUCCAAGCAGUUUGAACUGAUUGCAUAGGCUGGUUCUGCAUAAGACUAAGUGUUCCCAUGGAGGCCACCAGGUCUUUGGUUAUUGGGGUUGGAGGUGCUGAAAUCGUUCUCUCUCCUCCUGGUCCACUCAGACUGGCAUCAAGGAAGUCAACAUCAAGUCUCCAAAUGGUGUAAAUAUUUGUGCUUAGAAUCAAAACCCAAGGGCAGCCCGGGUGGCUUAGCGGUUUAGCGCCGCCUUUGGCCCAGGGCAUGAUCCUGGAGACCUGGGAUGGAGUCCAUGUCGGCCUCCCUGCA